rnacentral:lncRNA from 1 species
AGGAAGCUGGAGAUAAGAGACAGUCCGUUUGGGAACGCUGCGCUUCUUGCUGAUGUCGAUAAGUACAGAACAAUGCGAUCCCUUUGGAUGUCGUCUUGUGAAGUAACGCUCGGUGGGUGCAAGAGGCUGGCGAGAAACGCGCCGUGGCUUAACGUGGAGAUCAUUAAUGAGAAUGAGAAUAAUGAUGUGAUGGAGAGGAAUGAAGAAGAUGAAAGGGAGAAGGUUGAUAGGCUUUACCUUUACCGAACAGUGGUUGGGGCUAGAAAAGAUGCACCGCCAUGUGUUACGAUUCUUU